GGUUGGAAGAUGGAGCUCCUUUUCAGGCUAAAACAAGAAAGAUAAUAGAAGGGGAUUAGCAGCUGCUGGUUUAUGGAUGCCUUUUGGGUUUGAGCAUCUGUGUAUAUAUUAAAUUAAUAAGCAGCUUGCCGGUCAAAUUAAAGGGUUUGCAUGAACUAGGAGAUGAUAUUUUUCCCCUCCUUUUAUUUCGUUUGAAGGGAGCUCUAAUGUUUUCUAAU
rnacentral:pre_miRNA from 1 species